CCUACGGGAGGCAGCAGUGAGGAAUAUUGGUCAAUGGGCGCGAGCCUGAACCAGCCACGUCGCGUGAGGGAGGACGGCCCUACGGGUUGUAAACCUCUUUUGCCGGGGAGCAACGGGCGUCACGUGUGCCGCCACUGGGAGUACCCGGAGAAACAGCAUCGGCAAACUCCGUGCCAGCAGCCGCGGUAUGACGGAGGAUGCGAGCGUUAUACUGAUUUGUUGGGUUUAAGGGGUGCGUAGGCGGAUCGUUAAGUCAGUGGUAAACUUGAGGGGCUCAACCCCUUCCCGCCAUUGAAACUGGCGUUCUUGAGUGGAAGAGAGGUAUGUGGAAUGCGUGGUGUAGCGGUGAAAUGCAUAGAUAUCACGCAGAACCCCGAUUGCGAAGGCAGCAUGCCGGCUUCCGACUGACGCUGAAGCACGAAAGCGUGGGGAUCGAACAGGAUUAGAUACCCGUGUAGUC
rnacentral:rRNA from 1 species